rnacentral:rRNA from 1 species
AUACGUAGGUGGCAAGCGUUGUCCGGAUUUAUUGGGCGUAAAGCGAGCGCAGGCGGUUUCUUAAGUCUGAUGUGAAAGCCCCCGGCUCAACCGGGGAGGGUCAUUGGAAACUGGGAGACUUGGGUGCAGAAGAGGAGAGUGGAAUUCCAUGUGUAGCGGUGAAAUGCGUAGAUAUAUGGAGGAACACCAGUGGCGAAGGCGACUCUCUGGUCUGUAACUGACGCUGAGGCUCGAAAGCGUGGGGAGCAAACAGGAUUAGAUACCCUGGUAGUCCACGCCGUAAACGAUGAGUGCUAAGUGUUGGAGGGUUUCCGCCCUUCAGUGCUGCAGCUAACGCAUUAAGCACUCCGCCUGGGGAGUACGACCGCAAGGUUGAAACUCAAAUGAAUUGACGGGG